rnacentral:misc_RNA from 1 species
UCUGGAGCAUCGAGUAGGGUUCGUGUUACGGAUCUGAAAGAUCUCUGGUAGUCGCCCGCACUUCUUCUCUCGCUUUUCCAUUCUUGGUAAUAGACGCACGGAUCGCGGGGUUAUUUACGCGAUCGCGUGGAGCUCUUUGACAAUUGAAGGAUUGGGUGAAACCGCAAUCGAGUGGCAACGCUCGAUUGCAGGGAUCAGCACCGAUAUUCUGAUGGGCGAGUGACCAUCGCGGGUCGCUCGUUCAUUGUAGAUCGUUGGGAUCAAACAAAAUAAGGCACACGGUGAAUGCCUUGGCAUCGAGAGGCGAUGAAGGACGUGGUAAGCUGCGAUAAGCCUGGGGGAGCUGCACACAAGCUGUGAUCUCAGGAUGU